rnacentral:tRNA from 1 species
CCAUCGGUGGUUCAGUGGUAGAAUGCUUGCCUGCCACGCAGGCUUCGAUUCCCGGCCGAUGCA